UUUUUAUAUACUUUAUACAUAAAUUAGCACCAAUGCCAUCUCUUUUAUUGAUUCUAAUGUUUACAGAUUCUUUUGAGCCUCCUUUGUACACAAUCAUAUCUGUGGUCUCUCUAAGCUGCUAUGUUGCCCAGGCUGGGCUCAAACUUGUGAUCCUUCUACCUCAGAUUCUCAGAGUUCUGGGAUUACAGAUUAAAAGCGAGAAAUGGUACCCCCCAAACACAGGAAGGGGUUGGUCUCUGCAGUCGGGAGAAGAAGAGGACAUGAAGAUGUAUAAUGUCCCAUGCGGGAGGAAGCCUUGCCAAGCCCCUCAGGAUUUAUAACAGGCUCACCUGAAGGAGAAAUGGGGUGCUUACACCAUCAGGUACCUGGAGAGACACUGUCAUUUCCUCACUGUGGAGUUUGCAAGCAGAUGGUAAAGCGGGUUUAAUUUGAAAACAGUGAAACACCGUGUACGCUCAAAACCAGGACAAUUGCAGUUUUAUUGUCUCCACUCAGAAAAAUGUGUGCCGGGAUCAUCUUGGGGCCCGAAUGGGGAGAAAAGCACCCGUGAUGCGCUUUGUUGGGUUUUUGACUCCUGUGGAAUCGCUGGAAAAACAUCGCCGCUGGUCAUAGGAAUUGUCCCCACUGUCGGAGACGCCAUCUCAGUUCUUUGUCCUAACAGACUCUAGAAGGUAGCUUUUGAGACCCCAAGGAGGCAAUGGAAAUCUGAAGACCCAGAGUCUUCCAUGUAUACGUGGGACAUGUCAUUAAACCCAAAUAGUGAACAUUCCGCUAAAUGUAAUCUUUAAGGCAAGCCAAACUGUCAAGUGAGAUGCGGUGAGCAGAUACGAGUUCUUUUUAUCGCAUGACUGUUUUAUUAAUAUUUAUUUCACAAUUUUUAUCAUUAUCAUUAUUAUUUCCACUAUUUCAUUUUGACAUUUAGAGGAUCAGCUUGUCAAUGAAAUG
rnacentral:lncRNA from 1 species